AGCAUCAUCCCAGGACUUUCCUUCGAUCACACCUUGAGCCUCACUGUAGGCAAGUCUGGCACAUGUCUUUAUAACUGUUUUGCCAAACCAACGCUUACCAAUUUCCUUACCAUUGGAGUCGAGUUUCCAAAAAACGCUAAAUGCAAGACGCUCAACGUUGGGAUUUAAUGAACAAAGUCGUUCACACAACAGAGGAGGAAGCAUCGGAAUA